CCUACGGGAGGCAGCAGUCGAGAAUCAUUCACAAUGGGGGAAACCCUGAUGGUGCGACGCCGCGUGGGGGAAUGAAGGUCUUCGUAUUGUAAACCCCUGUCAUGUGGGAGCAAAUUAAGAAGAUAGUACCACAAGAGGAAGAGACGACUAACUCUGUUCCAGCACCCGCGUUAAUACAGAGGUCUCAAGCGGUGUUCGGAAUCACUGGGCGUAAGGCGUUCGUAGGCUGUUUCGUAAGGCGUGUGUGAAAGGCGCGGGCUCAACCCGCGGACGGCACAUGAUACUGCGAGACUAGAGUAAUGGAGGGGGAACCGGAAUUCUCGGUGUAGCAGUGAAAUGCGUAGAUAUCGAGAGGAACACUCGUGGCGAAGGCGGGUUCCUGGACAUUAACUGACGCUGAGGCACGAAGGCCAGGGGAGCGAAAGGGAUGAGAUACCCGGGUAGUC
rnacentral:rRNA from 1 species